AAAUUAAAAAAUUUGGCGGUAUUUUAGUCUUUUCAGGGGAACCUGUUCUAUAAUUGAUAAUCCACGAUUUAAUUUACUUAUUUUAAUAAUUUAUAUAUCAUCGUAGAAUGAAUAUUUUUGAAGAAUUUUAAUAUUCAAAAUUUAAUAUUAUAAAAUAAAUCAGAUCAAGGUGUAGUUUAUAAAUAAGAAGAAAUGGGUUACAAUAAAAAUAUUUUUGAAUAAAUUUUUGUAAGGAAUUAGGAAAGUGGAUUUGAAAGUAAUUUAAUUUUAAAUUUUUAAAAUGAUUUAAGCUCUAAAAUAUGUACAUAUUGCCCGUCGCUUUUGUUUUAAAAUGAAAUAAGUCGUAACAAAGUAGAUUUACUGGAAAGUGAAUCUAGAAGA
rnacentral:rRNA from 1 species